AUGUCUGCGAGUCAGGAUUCCGAUCCAGAGACAAUGGCCCUGAUGGGAUGGAGCCAGAGGCAUCAUGGAGAGUAAGUGGAAUAAGAUUGUUUACAGCUUUGAUGACUUGAACCUUUCUGAGUCCCUCUCCAUGGCAUCUAUGCCUAUGGUUUUGAGAAGCCCUCUGCCAUCCAACAGCGAGCCAUUUUUCCUUGCAUCAAGGGUUAUGAUGUGAUUGCUCAAGCCCAAUCUAGGACUGGGAAAACAGCCACAUUUGCCAUAUCAAUUCUGCAGUAGAUUAAAUUAGAUCUAAAGGCCACACAGGCCUUGGUCCUGGCACCCACUCAAGAAUUAGCUCAACAGAUACAAAAAGUGGUCUUGGCAUUAGGAGAUUACAUGAGUGCCUCCUGUCAUGCCUGUAUCUGAGGCACCAAAUGCAUGCUGAAGUACAGAAGUUGCAGAUGGAAGCUCCCCAUAUCAUUCUGGGUAAUCAGCGAUAUCUAUCUCCCAAAUACAUCAAAAUGUUUGUACUGGAUGAGGCUGACGAAAUGUUGAGCCAUGGAUUUAAGGACCAGAUCUAUGAUAUAUUCCAGAAGCUCAACAGCAACACCCAGGUAGUUUUGUUGUCAGCCACAAUACCUUCAGAUGUUCUGGAGGUGACCAAAAGUUCAUGAGGGACCCCAUUCGAAUUCUUGUCAAGAAGGAAGAGUUGACCCUGGAAGGUAUCUGCCAAUUCUACCUUAAUGUGGAACGAGAGGAGUGGAAGCUUGACACUCUCUGUGACUUGUAUGAAACCCUGACCAUCACCCAGGCAGUCAUCUUCAUCAGCACCCGAAGGAAGGUCGAUUGGCUUACUGAGAAGAUGCAUGCCCGAGACUUCACAGUCUCUGCCAUUCAUGGAGACAUGUACCAAAAGGAACAAGAUGUGAUUUUGAUGGAGUUCUGAUCCUUCUCUAGCAGAGUAUUGAUUACCAAUGACCUGCUGGCCAGAGGCAUUGAUGUGCAGCAAGUUUCCUUAGUCAUCAACUAUGACCUUCCCACCAACAGAGAAAACUACAUCCACAGAAUUGGUUGUGGUGGUCCUUUUGGGGGCAAAGGUGUGGCUAUUAACAUGGUAACAGAAGAAGACAAGAGGACUCAUAGAGACAUUGAAACCUUCUACAACACCUCCAUUGAAGAGAUGCCUCUCAGUAUUGCUGACCUCAUUUGA